rnacentral:rRNA from 1 species
UAGUACGGCGAGUGAACCGGGAAGAGCUCAAAUUUGAAAUCUGGCGUCCUCAGGGCGUCCGAGUUGUAAUCUAUAGAGGCGUUUUCCGUGCCGGACCGUGUCCAAGUUCCUUGGAACAGGAUAUCAAAGAGGGUGACAAUCCCGUACUUGACACGAUGACCGGUGCUCUGUGAUACGUCUUCUACGAGUCGAGUUGUUUGGGAAUGCAGCUCAAAAUGGGUGGUGAGUUCCAUCUAAAGCUAAAUAUUGGCGAGAGACCGAUAGCGAACAAGUACCGUGAGGGAAAGAUGAAAAGCACUUUGGAAAGAGAGUUAAACAGUACGUGAAAUUGUUGAAAGGGAAACGAUUGAAGUCAGUCGUGACUGAGAGGCUCAGCCGGUUCUGCCGGUGUAUUCCCCUCAGUCGGGUCAACAUCAGUUUUGUCCGGUGGAAAAGGGUGGUAGGAACGUGGCACCUCCGGGUGUGUUAUAGCCUGCCGUCGCAUACAUCGGGUGAGACUGAGGAAUGCAGCUCGCCUUUAUGGCCGGGGUUCGCCCACGUCCGAGCUUAGGAUGUUGACAUAAUGGCUUUAAACGACCCGUCUU